UAUUUUUAAUACAUUAAACAUAGAAAAUUAAACAAAUUUUAUUAUAAAUCUAGUGUGAAAAUUUGGAAUUAGUUCUAUUAUAAUGUGAAGAUCAAAAAUUCAACAGCAAAAAAUAAAAUAGCUUUUAUAUGUGAACGUCUGAAACAAAGUCAAUUUAGUCUUUGUAAAACUUUAUUUAGAGAACAAUCUUGUAACAUACAUUAAGCACUAUGUUGAUUUUUGAUGCAUUAUCUGCUGGAAUAUUAGACUUUUUAAAUACUAUAAAAUACAGUUUUAAGUAUGUAACAGUAAGAAAUUCACCUUCUUUAUGUUAUAAUACAGUCACAAGUUUAUUUUAGUAGGGAAAUAAAGUUGUUUUAAUUGCCAACUUUUACAGUCAAACCAACAUUAACAAAAAACUUCUUUUUUGGCAAAAUUAGGUCAUUUUCAAUUCAUAACAAAGUAAUAUUUCUAGAACAAUCAAAUGAAUUUUUAUGAUAAUUGUUCAAAAAAUUAUAUAUCUGUGUCAUCCACAUCAUGUCAAUUUAUGUAGUAGUCCUUAGUACUUUUCACAAAGUGUGUCUUAUUUUAAGCUUGUUGUUAAAGGGAACCUUUUUAGAGGCCAUUCUUCAUAGAAUCUUCCCUUAUCCUGAAGAUAUUGUAUGAGUUAAUUUCAUUUAUCACUACUGUAUACGCUUUGUACUUGCAUGCAUAUAUCCUCUGUUGUGGUCUUCUCCUUGGGAGCCUCAUUCCAUUUUAUGUAAGGAUCAACUUAAUAGUGUCUUUUGGCCAAUGCCCUGUUGAGAUUACCUUGUGCAAUGUCACAUUUAUGCUCCAUUAACCUUUUCUACAGGUUCAGGAAAUACAACUUAGUACUACUGAUCAACAAAGUACAGUUACAAGUACAAUAAUGAAUAACUUUCAUACCAGUUAUGGAUUAUAGUCCUGUCAUGGAUGACUAGGAAAAUAUGGAUGUGGAUUUUAGAUGGCAGCUCAGUUUUUUCAUGACUCAACAGACAAAGAUCCUAUUAAUCCACACAUGAAUAAUAUAAUAAUAUGGAGAAUAAGGACCACAGGACAGACAGAAGAGUGUAGGCAAAACCUUAGAACAUUAACAGAACAUUAUGACAAUGGGCAAUCUUUUCUUCAUAGUACAGACCAACCUCACUAUGAUGGCGGCCAAAAGACAUUACAAAGUUGAUCUUGAUAUAAAAUGGGAUGAGAAAAAAGUUAUAAAAUCAAUCACCAACCCAAGGAAAGCUCACAUAGCAGACUAUAUAUGUAAAGCAUAGAGUAUGGAAUAGUGAUGAAUGAGACCAACCCAAAGAAUUGUUCUCAAUUCUGGAGAUAAUUUUUUUAAAGGACAUUCUUUAUACAGUAUCUUUAACAAUAAGCAUAAAAUAGUCCUCAAGAGACUUUGUGAAAAGCACUAUUAUGUAAAGUGACAUAUGGAUCAUUUAUUAUGAAAGUGGUGUAACUCCAUCUUUGGAAAAAAUU
rnacentral:lncRNA from 1 species